rnacentral:tRNA from 1 species
GGGCCGGUGGUUUAGGAGUAUAAUGCCUCGUUCGCAACGAGGAGGUCGAGGGUGCGAUUCCCUCCCGGUCCA